rnacentral:rRNA from 1 species
GCUUACGGGGUGCAGCAGUGAGGAAUAUUGGUCAAUGGGCGCGAGCCUGAACCAGCCAAGUAGCGUGAAGGAUGACUGCCCUACGGGUUGUAAACCUCUUUUAUAAAGGAAUUAAGUGAGGCACGUGUGCCUUUUUGUAUGUACUUUUUGUAUAAGGAUCGGCUAACUCGGUGCCAGCCGCCGCGGUAAUACGGAGAUGCCGAGCGUUAUCGUGAUUUAUUGGGUUUAAAGUGAGUGUAGAUGUGUUGUUAAGUCAGUUGUGAAAGUUUGCGGCUCAACGGUAAAAUUGCAAUUGAUACUGGCAGUCUUGAGUACAGUUGAGGUAGGAGGAAUUCGUGGGGUAGCGGUGAAAUGCUUAGAUAUCACGAAGAACCCUGAUUGCGAAGGCAGCUUACGAAUCUGUGACUGACAUUGAUGCUCGAAAGUGUGGGUAUCAAACAGGAUUAGAUACCCUUGUAGUC